CCUACGGGUGGCAGCAGUAGGGAAUCUUCCACAAUGGACGAAAGUCUGAUGGAGCAACGCCGCGUGAGUGAAGAAGGGUUUCGGCUCGUAAAGCUCUGUUGGUAGUGAAGAAAGAUAGAGGUAGUAACUGGCCUUUUUUUGACGGUAAUUACUUAGAAAGUCACGGCUAAUUACGGGCCAGCAGCCGCGGUAAUACGUAGGUGGCAAGCGUUGUCCGGAUUUAUUGGGCGUAAAGCGAGUGCAGGCGGUUCAAUAAGUCUGAUGUGAAAGCCUUCGGCUCAACCGGAGAAUUGCAUCAGAAACUGGUGAACUUGAGUGCAGAUGAGGAGAGUGGAACGCCAGGUGUAGCGGUGAAAUGCAUAGAUAUAAGGAAGAACACCGAUGGCGAAGGCAGCUCUCUGAUCUGCAACUGACGCUGAGGCUCGAAAGCAUGGGUAGCGAACAGGAUUAGAUACCCUAGUAGUC
rnacentral:rRNA from 1 species